AAUGAAAUAGUUCAGUUGGUAGAAUGUUAGAAUCAUAAUCUAAAUGCCGAGAGUUCAAUUCUCUCUUUCAUUA
rnacentral:tRNA from 1 species